ACAAUUUAUUCAUAAAGCAAAGAAUUCAUCAAGCAUCAAUUAAAUUUUAUACAUUCAAAGAACUUAAUCCACAAUACCAUGCCACAAUUCAACAAUAUCAAUCAAUUCAUGCCUAAGCACCAUGCAACAAUAACAAAAAUAAAAGAAUAAUAUUUUUGAAUUUUUUUAUACAUGGCAUAAAAUUCGAAAACAAGCAAAACACAUAAAAAAAAAGAAAAAUAAAAUAAUGUGCAUCCCCC
rnacentral:lncRNA from 1 species